CCUACGGGCGGCAGCAGUCGAGAAUCAUUCACAAUGGGGGAAACCCUGAUGGUGCGACGCCGCGUGGGGGAAUGAAGGUCUUCGGAUUGUAAACCCCUGUCAUGUGGGAGCAAAUUAAAAAGAUAGUACCACAAGAGGAAGAGACGGCUAACUCUGUGCCAGCAGCCGCGGUAAUACAGAGGUCUCAAGCGUUGUUCGGAAUCACUGGGCGUAAAGCGUGCGGAGGCUGUUUCGUAAGUCGUGUGUGAAAGGCGCGGGCUCAACCCGCGGACGGCACAUGAUACUGCGAGACUAGAGUAAUGGAGGGGGAACCGGAAUUCUCGGUGUAGCAGUGAAAUGCGGAGAUAUCGAGAGGAACACUCGUGGCGAAGGCGGGUUCCUGGACAUUAACUGACGCUGAGGCACGAAGGCCAGGGGAGCGAAAGGGAUUAGAUACCCGUGUAGUC
rnacentral:rRNA from 1 species